rnacentral:sRNA from 1 species
UUCGACUCGAGCGCCAGCGAAAGAGCGUUGCCGCAGGCAACGACCCGAAGGGCGAAGUGCGCAGCGCUGAGUAAUCCUUCCCCCACCACCA